AAUUCAAUCACAAAUUUCAAGUCAAGCUCGCUUAAAUCUCGCAAAUGUUUUUCAAAUAUUUCUUAAUUUGCAUCCUAAUUCAAUAUGUGUUGACAGCAAUUCCGAAGUAUUGUAUAGAAAGGGGAACCAUCGAAGAUGAUGCCAAGUAUGCUUGCCGUUACAAAUACGAGACCUGUUUAGAGAAGGCAACUAAAACUGUGGUAAAGAGAAAUGCGGCAUUCAACGAUGACGAUGAUGAGGAUUGUGAUGAAGUUUGCAUUUAUAACAAAUAUAAAAACGGUCAUACAGAUAAAAUAUGGUGUGGAUAAAUGGUGUAACAAUUUGCAUAAAAACUUGGUAUAACAAUGAAUAAAAAUUACUAUAUUGUUUGUAGCUUAGAUCUCUUUAUAUGUUUUAGAAUCUUUCAAAAUAAUCGUAAAUUGUUUUAUUAAAAUUAA